rnacentral:rRNA from 1 species
AACGAACGCUGGCGGCGCGUCUUAAGCAUGCAAGUCGAACGGCAAGAUUGGUGCUUGCACCGAUCCUAGAGUGGCGGACUGGUGAGUAACGCGUGGGUGACGUACCCUAAGGAUGGGGAUAGCUGGUAGAAAUAUCAGAUAAUACCGAAUAUCCUUAUUGUUGUUAGAGGACAGUAAGGAAAGGAGCUUUGGCUUCGCCUAAGGAUCGGCCCGCGUACUAUUAGCUAGUUGGUGAGGUAACGGCUCACCAAGGCGACGAUAGUUAUCCGGCCUAAGAGGGUGAACGGACACAUUGGGACUGAGAUACGGCCCAGACUCCUACGGGAGGCAGCAGCUAAGAAUAUUCCGCAAUGGAGGAAACUCUGACGGAGCGACGCCGCGUGGAUGAUGAAGGCCGGAAGGUUGUAAAAUCCUUUUAAGCAAGAAGAAUAUACUUUACAGGGAAUGGUAGAGUGGUGACGGUAUUGCUUGAAUAAGCAACGGCUAAUUACGUGCCAGCAGCCGCGGUAACAC